UGUAUUGUGGAAGGGGAGAUCUUGCGCGCGCACCUCCCCAUGGUGUCCUUCAAGUGGCGUCGCCCACCGUGGAUCCUCCGCGCGGGGCGGUGGCAGGACAGACCAAAUGCAAUAUUUCGAGAGGGGUGAUCGUGUUUAAUGGGAAGGUGGGGGGACACGACGUCAGCAGUUGGUGUGGCGCAGGCUGAAGUUCCACUGGGAGAGUUUUCCCCCAGCCUUGCAUUCACUACCCAGAGGACACGAAGUGACACAGAAGCGAAGACGUAACCUCUUCUGUCUUAAUCAGGAUCUCUGUUGGGCCUUCUGCGUGGAAAGCAGGUGCAAUCCCACUGAGCUGCUUUCCUUUCUGCGUGGCGCUUUAAAAAUGCAAUAGGAGCAGGAGAGGUAAAGUGAUUAAAGGAAGAGAUCAAAGCCACAUCUGUGUGCAUGUGAUGGUGGUCUCAGCAUCUUUAUUCCUUGCAGCAUUCCAGUGUGGUGGUAUCUAAACUAACAACGCUGAAUUUUGAAUUGCAUUUUUAAUGCUUGAUGUUUUGUUAUGUUUCUGUAUAUGCUGGAAGCCACCCAGAAUGGCUGGGGCGACCCAGUCACAUGGGCAGGGUACAAAUAAUAAAAUUAUUACUAUUAUGGUAAUAUAAUCUACCAGUACUGUGGUGGGUAAUUAGUCCUGAGCGCCUGUUUUAGCACUUGUUUUCCUCUACCUUACUCCAGAGGCUCUCUAACCCGUAGAGUGCUUUGGCAUUGCCUGAGGAUAUAGUGAAAUCAUGCUCAUUUCCCUCCCCAGUAGGGUGCUUGGUUCCCUUUGGGGUCUACAAUUUGAGCAAACAUUCAUCUGAUGGUAGGUACUUACAAGACUUUGGGCGCAGGCGCGCAGGCAUGUAUACAGAUUGUAUACAGUGGUACCUCGGUUUACGAACCUAAUCCGUUCCGGAGGUCUGUUUUUACACCGAAGCCGUUCUUAAACCGAGGCACGCUUUCCCUAAUGAGGCCUCCCACCACCGGUGCCCUUCCACUGUUUGUUGACCGAGGUAAAGUUCACAAACUGGAACAAUACUUCUGGUUUUGCAGAGUUCAUAACCUGAAUAGUUCGUUAACAGGAGUGUUCGUAGACCGAGGUACCGCUCAAUUGGCAAAUUAUGGCAAUGGAUUGCAGCUUUACAGCAUGCCCAACCUCUCUGUGAGCAAAAUUGGGGGAUGGGGCAUGAGAUCUGGGGCUUAGCACAAAAGCACUCAUUAAUAAUUAUCCCACAUCUCUGCAGUUGGUGGUGCUUGUAGUGGCGACCAUGUUGGCUGACAGUGCCUUUGAGAGUGUGGCGGGUUUAAAAGUUGAUUGAUUUAUUUGAUGCAGCUUUGUAAGGAAGCGCAGGAUAGCUGAUUAGCUUAAAGGCUAGCAGAACAAUCUGCAAAUAGGCUACUGUUGUGUGUUUCCAUACUGGCUGCAGAGGAACGUGACAUCCAGCUAAGUCAAACUUGGAUAAGAAGAACCAUUGAAAUAAAUGUGCUUAAAUGGGUCUACUCUGAGCAUGAGUUACAUCGUAUACUGCAAGUGUCCCUGCCCAAUCUGGUAGAGAUGAUAUGAUAGUGAAAAAGAAAAGAGGAGCACCAGAGUAGCAGGAAAAUUCAGGCACUAAUACUUCAUAGAGUAUUCCCCAGUAUCAACCGUAUUGGGUCCUAAGAUUGGCAGGGGCCCCCCUGAUGGUGCUGCUGACACUGGAUGUUGCCCAGUUGGUGUUGACCUAUGUCAGGGCCUUUUUGGUGGUGGUUUCCCAUUUUGGAAUGCCCUCCCUGGUGAAACACAUCUGUAUCCCUCACUAUUCACUUUCAUGAGGAAUUUAAAGAUCUUCUUGUUUACCCAGGCACUGGAUGGCUGAAAGAUACUGUUCCUGGCAACCAUGAAAAUGAUUAGCUUCAAGAGAACUUUGAUCACAGCUGCGGUAUCCAUGCAGAAGAGAGAUUGUGGCUCAGCAUCAUGUUCAGCCAUAGCAACCCUAUUUGUACGAUUGGACUCAUUCUGCAGUUAAGCCAAGUUUCCAACACACCUGCUAGAAAUGGAACCUCCUGGAGGCAUCUAAACUCUGAACUUUUUAAGUUUGUAAAAGGAACAAAGGUUUCGUUGAAGGAACCAUUAGUGCUGUUCUUGUAAUUAGCCACACAGCCGUGAAUAAUUUGUAUGCAUCUAUGGCAUUGCCUAUUAAUGUUCAUAUUUUUCAUUCAUCCACACUUUGUUAGAUACAGUAUUUAUAUAGAUAUAGAUACAUAUAUAAUUUUUGAACUUUAAAGCUCUUUAAUUUUUUAAUGCUGUGUCUGAUGUAAUAGAUUAUUAUUUGUUAAUUGAAUAAAAGUUAGAUAGUUAUUCAUAUUGAAUAUUAUAUUAAUAUAUUAUUAAAUAAAGCAUACCUUUGCACAAUUCUUCUUGAGUCUUUGGUAUUUUCCUCAUCUCAUCCUGUUUAUUAAUAUAAUCAAUAAAGCAGAACCUGUUUCAU